UCUGUACCGCCUUUGUGAACAUUUGUGUGUUUUUUGUGAUUUGGUUUGAGAUGCUGGUAGUGAUUGUUGGGGACUGUGCUAGGUUUAAAAUUCUGAUUGUUAACACCUGGUUUUAUGUUGCUUCUCCUUUCCCCUGGCUGGAUCAUAACCUAAAGACUAGGAAGACGUUGUGCCAUGACUAACUUUAUAUGCGGACGCUGUGAACUGAAACCUGGCUCUGUGAGCAGUCAGUAAGUGAAAUACUCCGUAAGUAAAAUUUCCCAGUCUGUUUUUUAUCUUCUUUUCUUGCAGAAAUCAACUGCCCGAUACUGGAUGUAAGUCCCACAGUGUCGGAGGUUUUCCUUUCUCAGCAAAGUGGUUCUACAAAGGGUUGAUGCUUCAUGUGAACAGUGCCACAUCUACUGGCCUGAAUGCAAAAUGGGCAAAAUACAAAUGUUUGUGCAUCACAAAUUGAAUUUAUCUACUGAGAUGAGCAUGGUAACCAGCCAGCACCGACCUUCCCUGUGUUGUAAUACCACUUUGUGACACUAGAGGCUGUGAGUCAGUGGAACGUCAAGUCUGCCCUCAGUCCCACGAAGAACAACAACUUCCGGCAGAGCUUGAAGUUAGCGUCACAGAAACACAGCAAUGGCUGAAACCCCUAAAAGGUAAUAUUUAUUGGUAUCCCGCAGGACCGCUCCCGACAAGAAACCACGUUUAACAGCAAAGAAAAGAAGCAACACGAGUAAAUCUCGGUGUGGCUUCCUACUGCUGGAGACGGCUCCUGAGAGGAAAGAGAUGCGGUUUGAUGCAGAGCUCGCAACUUUCCUGUUAGCCUGGACCAGAAGUCCAGUCUAAUCAUCACCAAUGAUGGACCAGCACCAGCCUUUUCUUCUGCAUCCGGCCUCAGCAAUCAACCACAUUACAUCAACACCUUGAGGACAACAACACACACUGCAACUCAGACUGUGAGUGUGAGCUCCUGCAGCACAGCCGAGAUCCUCCUUCCUCUCCACCACUGUCCCUCUCUCUCUGCCAUCUAGUGGUCGUCUGUGUGUACUGCAUUUCCACCAUGCUGAUGGUGUCUACCUACUGCAGCAGGAGAACAGGACACCCACCCUCGAUGCGGUCAAGUUCAGGUCACCCCAGAUGACGAAUCCAGCAGCUCCCAGAGCGGCGCUCUCCCCGAUGGUGUGGAUCAAGUCUUUCUGCAGGAAACAUAUAGAGUGUCGCUGUGCUGAUUAAAUGACAUUACAUGUGGACCCAGCACUUUAAACCCAGCCCGGGCCGAGAUUCCAGUGGUUCACCACACAUAUUUACAACCAGAAGACAAAAGUCACAGUGAACCCGAUCCCUGCGAGUCCCUCUGGCCGAAGGUCGGACCUGCAGCCCGGGACGUUCGGACGGAGCCUCCAUCAGCUGCGACCGACUGUGGGUUGUAAUUACAUGCUGUGCGUUCGGAUGCGUAGGAGCGACAUGAGAGCUGUUUGUUGAGGUGUAUUUGGAUUCCUCUGGCCUGGCGUUGGGAUCCUGACUGCAGAUUCGUUUCCACCACCUCCGUGGAUGAAAGGCCCACCCUGAACCCCCCCACCCCUGCACGGAAACCUCAGCGUCGCCGGCUGUGGUGGUCAGAGCCUCCUCACCAACAUAUGGAUUGUGUUAUGAAAAUGUCUGGGCUCAGACAGCGCGGAUCCUCCCGCCGCUCUAAUGGCCUCAGCUGUAAUGAGGCAUCAGGUUGCCCGGGGAGGAAGUGAUGGUUCAGGGUCGGUCUACGUUCAGGACAUACCGUGUGAUAUGGAGGGCUGCAGGAGAAAAUGAGCUGAUUUUCCCGAGGAGAAUGUGCACGGCGCCUGCUCCUGCAGAACCACGGUCGACAGAAAUUAAAUUUCAAAGAGCGGAAACUGAAAACUGUUUUUCUGUGGCUGCUGCAGAUGAAGGUCAUCAUCCCCUCAUCACGCUGACUGAUUGAACUGCUGGAACUUUGUGAUGUCACAACAAAGCAGUCACCAAGCCCCGCCCCCCUGGACCCACCAUCCAAACCUUGCAGGAUUUGUUGUCUCCGAGUUAAAUCUGCUAUAUUUUUUAUUUGUGUUGUUACUAGAGCUUCAGAGAGAAGCCUGAGAGAGGAGAUGUAAAACUACAUUCAGAUGGUUUUAGGUUCUUAAAACCACAAAUAUAAUUAAAAACUUAAAAUAAAACACCAAAAAAAUAAAUAUGGGACUUUUAAAAUGAAAAAUACCCAAAAGUCUCUUCGCAGGGAACUUUACCUGCCUCUUAACUGUAAAACACUACAGUCAGGUAGUGACAGGUUUUUGGUAGUCAAAGACAUUUCACUAUUGCGAAGCGACCAUGUGAUCAGCUGUCAGUUACUCAUGGGGAGGAAAGGAGUCAGUGUUUUGUCAGUUAACCUCCCAUACAGAACAAAAGAGGUGUUAUCUCAUCUGAAGAGUUACAUAACGGAGUUUAGAGUAAAACAGAAUUAUCAUUUCCUGUUUGAAACACCAGCGUCAUACUGAGCCUCUUCUCUCUGGUCUCUGAUGUUUUUAUCAGACCAUCACGCAAAAAGGAAAUGAACAUAAUUUCUUUCCUCACAGUCGGUCUGCUGCGGCUCUGACCUUUGACCUACAGGGACUGAAGCCUGAAGUCUGCAGUUAUGAAGGCAGAUUAAACAGACGUGUAAAGGCCCAGUGAUCUGCAGCAGUCGGUGCAGCCUCCUACAGUCUUGUGGUUUCUCUCACAUAUGUCAGUGAGCGUGUUUUGUUGUUGGGUUGCCAGUUUUCCCCAGCAGUCAUAUUAUUGUUCCUGAUGCCAUCUUCGCCCACCAGCCUAACUGUGCGUUUUAUGGCCCUCAAUGAGCCUCAGAGAGUUGUGGUGUUGAUGUGGGAUCAGGAUCUGAGCGGCCGGCUGGAUUCAAAAUCAACAGAGUGACGCCGAGUUGAUGUUUUUACUGGAGAGGACGACUUCUACUCACUCCGAGUCUCUUCUCACAAUACUAAAAAAACGCCUCGGAGUGAUUUAGGGUUCUGUUUCUGAACUCGGAUCAUUUGGACUUUUUGUCCCACAUCUAAAGGCUGGUGACAUCUUGACUGAGUUUGACAAAAUUUUCAGUGGAUGUUCUGGUUUCCACAGGAUGACGCGUAAUGGUUUUGGUGACUGUGACGUUUCCUUGACCCACUCUGGUCUAUGAUGGCUGCUACUCACCAGAUAUGCAUGAAAAAUGCAAAAGUAGGGCACAUAUUUGUUUGACUGCUGAAAGCACACUAUUGAGAUACUCUAUUAUUGCAUUUUCUUCCGUACAUUUUUUUGACAUGCUACUAGUCCUACACACUGGAAGCUAGAAACAUGGUUCCAAAGCUGAACUGCUAAGAAUGUUAAGGAGAUUGGUUUUAUAUAUGUUGGAUCUGUAACAGCUGAUUUUAUAUAAAUUGUUUUUCAGAUUUUGUGAUUGGGUUCUCAACGAGGAAAUAAGCAAAAACGUAUGCACAGCUGCAGCUCGCAGCAAUCGCACACAUUUUCUAUGUUAAUGCACAUUCUAGUAUUCAAAUGCAUUUAUUAGUAUUUUGCACUGAUUUUUACCAUCUACACCAGAGUCAGUCCACCACUUUCUCAAAAGC